AGAGUUUGAUCCUGGCUCAGAUUGAACGCUGGCGGCAUGCUUUACACAUGCAAGUCGAACGGCAGCGCGGGGCAACCUGGCGGCGAGUGGCGAACGGGUGAGUAAUAUAUCGGAACGUACCCAAGAGUGGGGGAUAACGUAGCGAAAGUUACGCUAAUACCGCAUACGAUCUAAGGAUGAAAGCAGGGGAUCUUCGGACCUUGUGCUCCUGGAGCGGCCGAUAUCUGAUUAGCUAGUUGGUGAGGUAAAGGCUCACCAAGGCGACGAUCAGUAGCUGGUCUGAGAGGACGACCAGCCACACUGGAACUGAGACACGGUCCAGACUCCUACGGGAGGCAGCAGUGGGGAAUUUUGGACAAUGGGCGCAAGCCUGAUCCAGCAAUGCCGCGUGAGUGAAGAAGGCCUUCGGGUUGUAAAGCUCUUUUGUCAGGGAAGAAACGGUGGAGGCUAAUAUCCUUCGCUAAUGACGGUACCUGAAGAAUAAGCACCGGCUAACUACGUGCCAGCAGCCGCGGUAAUACGUAGGGUGCAAGCGUUAAUCGGAAUUACUGGGCGUAAAGCGUGCGCAGGCGGUUUUGUAAGUCUGACGUGAAAUCCCCGGGCUCAACCUGGGAAUUGCGUUGGAGACUGCAAGGCUAGAAUCUGGCAGAGGGGGGUAGAAUUCCACGUAGCAGUGAAAUGCGUAGAGAUGUGGAGGAACACCGAUGGCGAAGGCAGCCCCCUGGGUCAAGAUUGACGCUCAUGCACGAAAGCGUGGGGAGCAAACAGGAUUAGAUACCCUAGUAGUCC
rnacentral:rRNA from 1 species